rnacentral:rRNA from 1 species
GACGAACGCUGGCGGCGUGCUUAACACAUGCAAGUCGAGCGGUAAGGCCCUUUCGGGGGUACACGAGCGGCGAGCGGGUGAGUAACACGCGGGUGACCUGCCCUCAGCUCUGGGAUAAGCCUGGGAAACCGGGUCUAAUACCGGAUAUGACUCCAUGACGCAUGUUGUGGGGUGGAAAGCCUUGUGCGGCUGAGGAUGGGCCCGCGGCCUAUUAGCUUGUUGGUGGGGUGAUGGCCUACCAAGGCGACGACGGGUAGCCGGCCUGAGAGGGCGACCGGCCACACUGGGACUGAGACACGGCCCAGACUCCUACGGGAGGCAGCAGUGGGGAAUCUUGCGCAAUGGGCGAAAGCCUGACGCAGCGACGCCGCGUGAGGGAUGACGGCCUGG